rnacentral:lncRNA from 1 species
CGAGGUUAGAUGAACAGAUAAAGGCAGAAAAUAGAUAAAUAAAUAAAAUCAAGCUCCGCUAGCAUAGGAAAAUUCAAGACAAUAAAUAAAAAUACAAUUAUUUCGAGUCAGAAAAUAGAUAAAUAAGUGAAAAACAAAUUUACCUGUGAACUUUCCCUUGUAGCAAGUCAUGGUUACAGUGGAAGAAAUCGAAAAAACAAAUAGUCUCCAUCGAUGAAUUUGGUUCUUUAUAGAGGAAUGCGUGCAAAACACCUGGACACCCAACCUACAGUCCAAUCUAUUCCGCACACGUCGAUAGUAUCUAUCGAAGAAUCUGAACCUAAAGUCCAAUCUAUUCCGUACACGUCAAUAGUGUCUAUCGAAGAAUCUCGUUCCUUUCCAAUCUCGUUCUUUUCCUUUCCAAUCUCGUUAGGUUCCAAUCUAGUGUCAAAUCUAUUCCGGACACGUCAAUAGUGUCUAUCGACCAAUCUCGUUCUUUUCCUUUCCAAUCUCGUUAGGUUCCAAUCUAGUGUCAAAUCUAUUCCGGAAACGUCAAUAGUGUCUGUCGACUAAUCUCGUUCUUUUCCUUUCCAAUCUCGUUAGGUUCCAAUCUAGUGUCAAAUCUAUUCCGUACACGUCAAUAGUGUCU